GCUGGGCGUAGUGGUGCAUGCCUGUAAUCCCAGCCACUUGGGAGGCUGAGGCUGGAGGAUCACAAGUUCAAGCCCAGUCUCUG
rnacentral:sRNA from 1 species